CAUGGUUGUCUCAGCUCGUGUCGUGAGAUGUUGGGUUAAUCCCGCAACGAGCGCAACCCUUGAUCUUAUUGCCAGCAUUCAGUUGGGCACUCUAAGGUGACUGCCGGUGACAAACCGGAGGAAGGUGGGGAUGACGUCAAAUCAUCAUGCCCCUUAUGACCUGGGCUACACACGUGCUACAAUGGACAGAACAAAGGGUUGCGAGACCGCAAGGUUUAGCCAAUCCCACAAAUCUGUUCUCAGUUCGGAUCGCAGUCUGCAACUCGACUGCGUGAAGCUGGAAUCGCUAGUAAUCGCGGAUCA
rnacentral:rRNA from 1 species